UAGGGGAAUCUUUCCGACAAUGGGCGAAAGCCUGAUGGAGCAACGCCGCGUGUGUGAUGAAGGGUUUCGGCUCGUAAACACUGUUGUAAGAGAAGAAUGACAUUGAGAGUAACUGUUCAAUGUGUGACGGUAUCUUACCAGAAAGGAACGGCUAAAUACGUGCCAG
rnacentral:rRNA from 1 species